rnacentral:snRNA from 1 species
GGAUGUGAGGGCGAUCUGGCUGUGACAUCUGUCACCCCAUUGAUCACCAGGGUUGAUUCGGCUGAUCUGGCUGGCUAGGCGGGUGUCCCCUUCCUCCCUCACCACUCCAUGUGCGUCCCUCCUGAAGCGCUCGGUGGAAGAGGAUGGCCUUCCCCGAAUAGAGACAGACAGGUCCUUGGUCGAAGGUAGCUGCACUGUCCUGCUAGAACCUCCAAACAAGCUCUCAAGAUAACAGGGGUAUACUUUCAUACAGUUCUCACCACCAGAGUUCUGUGUCCCAUUCUCUCCACUGGGAACUUCU